rnacentral:rRNA from 2 species
UGCAAGUCGAACGAGACCUUCGGGUCUCUUGGGGCACGGGUGCGUAUCGCGUGGGAAUCUGCCCUUGGGUUCGGAAUAACACUUGGAAACAACAGCUCAUACCGGAUGAUGACAAAAGUCCAAAGAUUUUUCGCCCCCGGAUGAGCCCCCGUAGGAUUAUCUCUUUGGUGAGGUAAAGGCUCUCCAAGGCGACAAUCCUUAUCUGGUCUGAGAGGAUGAUCACCCCCACUGGGACUGAGACACGGCCCACACUCCUACGGGAGGCGGCAGUAGGGAAUAUUGGACAAUGGGGGCAACCCUGAUCCCCCAAUGCCGCGUGAGUGAUGAAGGCCUUAUGGUUGUAAAGCUCUUUUACCCGGGAUGAUAAUGACAGUACCGGGAGAAUAAACCCCGGCUAACUCCCUGCCACCACCCGCGGUAAUACGGAGGGGGCUAGCGUUGUUCUGAAUUACUGGGCGUAAAGCGCACGUAUGCGGCGAUUUAAGUCUCGGGUGAGAGCCCAGUGCUCAACACUGUAACUGCCUCUGAGACUGGAUUGCUUGAAUCUCGGAGAGGUGUGUGGGAUUCUCAGUGUAUAGGUGAGAUUCUUAUAUAUUCUGAAGAACACCACUGUCGAAAGCGCCCCACUGUACAUGUAUUGACACUCAGAUGCGAAAGCGUGUGCAGCACACACGAGUACAUACCCUGGUGAGUCUACGUCGUAACGAUGAUACUAGCUGCU